rnacentral:lncRNA from 1 species
CAGCCCUUCAGGAAGCUGCUGGUGGCACUGGAUUUUCGGCAGGGAUUCAUGUCACCCUGAAUGAGUAAACUGAGUCCUGCUGGUUGAGCUGCUCAACAAGUUAUCACCCACAGCCUGCAUGGAGGACACAGGAAAUGUCCUAUGCAGAAGCACACUGAGGUGAGGGGCACUCCUCACCCGGUAGGGGUGCUCUGCGUGUGCCCAGCAUCCUCCCUCUGACGAGUGCUUAAGUGUGAAGAGCUGGUGGACUUGCCAGGGGCUGAUGUCUUGUCAGAUUGUCUGCUCUGCAUCUUCUCUGGAGCCAGUGCACAGGGCUGUGUGGCCAUAUCCAGGCCUGGGGGAAAGGAAAGGGCUGGGACGUGCAGGUGUAUGUGGCACUCGUGUAAAUCGCUGGGCAGCAGAGGCAGGGGAGAGGGGAGAUACAUCUGGUUAGGCAUUGCAGCGGGUUGUCGAACAAGGUGGUGGAGUCACCGUCCGUGGCGGUGUUUAAGGAAAGGUUGGAUGUGGUGCUUAGGGACGUGGUUUAGUGGGUAAUGGUGGUAGGGGGACAGUUGGACCAGAUGAUCUUGGAGGGCUUUUCCAGCCUUAAUGAUUCCAUGCUUCUAUAAUAGAUAUGUUCCAGCUGGGCUGGCAGUGGCUGCUGCUCUUCCCCAGGAAGAAGAACUUCAGGUUGCAGCAGGAAGUGAACAGAGCCGGCAGAAAGCAUGGGGACAAUCAGGAGUAUGUGUAUCAGAGGACACCACACGUUACAGUGACAUCCCAUGUCACAUUCCAGCACCGUGCUGCAUAACAGAUAGGAAACGUUCCUGUGUGUGUCCUGUUGCUUCGCAUGUCCCUGUGCCAGUGAGAGAGUGGGGUUAUCCAAAACCAGGCAACCUCAGUGAUGUUGUGGAAGGAGGAGUGAAGUGA